rnacentral:lncRNA from 1 species
AGCUGCUUAAACACUUUAAUUGCUAUGCUCCUCAAUGAGUAAAACAUAUAUUGCACAGGCAGUUGUACAAAAGACAGUCUCAAAAACUUUUUUUUUUCUUGUAUGUGCCACCCACACAUUCCUAACAGGGAGCAGCUUUAGAUUGGAUUUUGCUGGAGAAGGAAAGGAGAAUUGCUCGGGAGGAGAUGGACAGGUAAAAAGUCUUGUUUAUUACGAAGGAUGUUUAACCUGAAGAAGGACCAAGUGAAAAAAUCGAGGGGAAAAAAAGCACUGCAUUUCCAAGUCUUACUUUAAACUCAUGGAUUCCAAGAAAACGCACACGGAACAGA